GGGACGUUGUGCCACCCAGCUGGAGGAAGCCCGGCAGCACGCAGUGCUUCUGGCUUCCCCUCCCUGCGUUCUGGGCCCUGCUGCACCCACCUGCCCAGCUGGGCCGGCAUUUUGGCACCUUCACUCCUCUGACAGACACAGGGAACGGCUCGCUCUCCUCCCAGGACACAAGCAGCUCUUGACGUGCGGAAAUCAGACCCAAGAGCCAGUAAGGAUAUAGAGCAGACGUUACCGGCUGCCGAGCGGAGCUGUUGCCUUUCGCAGGCAACCGUGAUGUUCGUUGCUUAGGGGAGCCUGCGGCUUGGCCAAAUACCGAGGUGACACCAAUAUGAUGAGCGGCAAAAUGGCGUUUAUUAAGUUCUAACAAGCACUUAUAUAUCUUUUAACCCUUCGUGUACGCCCACUGGAUGGUACACGUGGCACGUACCUAACACAUGGGGAGGAGCCUGACACGUUACAUCCCGAGACCCCGAUCACGCCUAUUACAACAUCUCCCCCUCCCCAUGCCACAGAAAGCUGACCCGUAACAACGCGAACGCAAAUCCUAACUCUAUUUCUAUUCCUAAGUGCGUCUAUAAUUGCUCCUGAAUGCGCUGAUACGCGUACUGCUGACGUGAGAUUUCCUCUAUGAAGUUUCUUAAGCAUGCCUUAAGAAGCUGAACAAAGCAUGGAAGACAGAGCAUAAUAGCCAAGAAUAUUGCUAAAACUACGAUAAGCGUUUUAAGCAUUUGUUUUAGCCAUGGCUCUAAUUCCCCAAACAGACCCUCCAACCAUUCACCGAAGGGAUCGGCCUGCAUCUUGAUCUUCUGUGUGUGGCCUUGCAUCCACUGUAGUUGUUUAUGGAUCGAUGCGCUGUGAUCACUUAAGUUGAAGCAACAGAACCCUUCGACAUCCUCACAUCCGUGGCUUUGAGCUAAAAGCAAGAAGUCAAUAGCCGUGCCACCCCCUGGCAAAGAACAUAGACACAUUAGCAGAGAUAGAACCAAAUUUCUCGGUGUGGGCAGUAACGGCUGUGUUGCCGGGUCCGUGUCCUGGCUUGUCUUCGGUGGUCCACGCACCCAUAUAAGUG
rnacentral:lncRNA from 1 species